CAGGAAGGAAUGCUAAGCAAACCCUGAAGAGCAAACAGAGAGAUUUGUGUUACCCUAACCACCACAUGAUUCCACCACCCCAAAAUGUAAGAAGACCAUUGGAAUCAUUUGAUGCAAGACUUGGCUGAAAAUGCUUAGACGUCAGGAAGCUAGGACUCUCUGAUUUCAUCAGAAGAUUUUGAGUUUUACUUCAUAGAAAAUGAAGUACUUUAACAUCAGCUCUGCUACCAAAUCUCAGUGGAGGAAAAUGACUCCCAGUGAGAGUAAUAUACCCAUUGGCCACUGUGUUGAUGAGUAAGGUGGUCUUGAGACAUUCCUUCAAGUUAAGUUACAUAUUGCAAAGAGAAGGAGAUAUUUUGGACUAAGACAUCAAGAACAAGGAAGCAUUUUCCCAGGGAUGACUUAUGGGACAGUAUUUCUGGAAGACUUUUAUCAGCUCUCAAUUUGAUUAGUUCCUGGCAUCUAUUUCUCCUUGCUCUAUCCCCAAAACCCAUGUGACCUGGAACACAAGAGGCCAUACCUCCAUCCAGAACUCUAGAGGUCAUACAGGUACCCAGAAACCCACGGCUCUACCAGAGGUCAUGCUGGUACUGGCUUUUGGCACCCUACUCAUACUGAGUUGCCUUGCUCAGCAUUAAUGAAUAGUUACAUUUGAUCCACAGCAAAUAACCCACAACCUAAAAAGCAAGAUUAUGGAAAUUGUGUUCCCAGUACUAGAG